rnacentral:SRP_RNA from 1 species
GCCAGGUGUGGUGGUGAACACCUGUAGUCCCAGCUACUUGGGAGGCUGAGGUGGGAGGAUCACUUGAGCCCAGGAGUUUGAGGCUGCAGUGAGCCGAGAUGGUGCCAUUGCACUCCAGCCUGGACAACAGAGUGAGACCCUGUCUCAA